rnacentral:pre_miRNA from 1 species
GUGGUCCUCUGUGGACAUCUUACUAGACAGUGCUGGAUUUUGUCACUGUACUCUAACACUGUCUGGUAACGAUGUUUAAAGAGCGAGCCA